UACGGGGGGGGCAAGCGUUGUUCGGAAUUACUGGGCGUAAAGGGCGCGUAGGCGGCUUAUCAAGUCAGGCGUGAAAUUCCCGGGCUCAACCUGGGGGCUGCGCUUGAUACUGAUUGGCUUGAAUGCGGGAGGGGAUAGUGGAAUUCCCAGUGUAGAGGUGAAAUUCGUAGAUAUUGGGAAGAACACCGGUGGCGAAGGCGGCUAUCUGGCCCGUAAUUGACGCUGAGGCGCGAAAGCGUGGGGAGCAAACAGG
rnacentral:rRNA from 1 species